rnacentral:rRNA from 1 species
GGAAGCGUCUGGAAAGGCGCGCGAUACAGGGUGACAGCCCCGUACACAAAAAUGCACAUAUUGUGAGCUCGAUGAGUAGGGCGGGACACGUGGUAUCCUGUCUGAAUAUGGGGGGACCAUCCUCCAAGGCUAAAUACUCCUGACUGACCGAUAGUGAACCAGUACCGUGAGGGAAAGGCGAAAAGAACCCCGGCGAGGGGAGUGAAAAAGAACCUGAAACCGUGUACGUACAAGCAGUGGGAGCCUCUUAAUGGGGUGACUGCGUACCUUUUGUAUAAUGGGUCAGCGACUUAUAUUCUGUAGCAAGGUUAACCGAAUAGGGGAGCCGAAGGGAAACCGAGUCUUAACUGGGCGUUAAGUUGCAGGGUAUAGACCCGAAACCCGGUGAUCUAGCCAUGGGCAGGUUGAAGGUUGGGUAACACUAACUGGAGGACCGAACCGACUAAUGUUGAAAAAUUAGCGGAUGACUUGUGGCUGGGGGUGAAAGGCCAAUCAAACCGGGAGAUAGCUGGUUCUCCCCGAAAGCUAUUUAGGUAGCGCCUCGUGAAUUCAUCUCCGGGGGUAGAGCACUGUUUCGGCAAGGGGGUCAUCCCGACUUACCAACCCGAUGCAAACUGCGAAUACCGGAGAAUGUUAUCACGGGAGACACACGGCGGGUGCUAACGUCCGUCGUGAAGAGGGAAACAACCCAGACCGCCAGCUAAGGUCCCAAAGUCAUGGUUAAGUGGGAAACGAUGUGGGAAGGCCCAGACAGCCAGGAUGUUGGCUUAGAAGCAGCCAUCAUUUAAAGAAAGCGUAAUAGCUCACUGGUCGAGUCGGCCUGCGCGGAAGAUGUAACGGGGCUAAACCAUG